CAAAAACAUGUCUUUUUGAUUAUAAUUUAAGGUCUGACCUGCCCAAUGAUUAUUUAAAUGGCCGCAGUAUUUUGACUGUGCAAAGGUAGCAUAAUCAUUAGUUUCUUUAUUGGGAGCUGGAAUGAAAGGUUGGAUGAGAAAUUGACUGUCUCUAAUUUAAUUAUAUUGAAUUUUAUUUUUUAGUUAAAAAGCUAAAAUUUGUUAGGGGGACGAGAAGACCCUAUAGAGUUUUAUAUAAAGAUUGAGCUAUGAUUUAAGUUUAAUUUUGUAUUGAUUUUUAUAUUUUAUUGGGGUGAUAUAAAAAUUUAGCUAACUUUUUAUUAUUUUAACACUAAUUAGUGAAUGUUUGAUCCUUAUUAUGGAUUAUAAGAUUAAGUUACCUUAGGGAUAACAGCGUAAUUUCUUUGAAAAGUUCUUAUUGAUAAGGAAGUUUGCGACCUCGAUGUUGGAUUAAAGUUUAUUUUUGGUGUAGAAGCUGAAUAAUUAGGUCUGUUCGACCUUUAAAAUUUUACAUGAUCU
rnacentral:rRNA from 2 species